ensembl:lncRNA
AGUUUGGAAUUUCAAAAAUACAAUGUUAAAGAAAAGAAGAAAAAAAAAAAAUAACAAGGUCAAAAAAUUAUAAAACAUAUAUAUAUGAAGUUUGCUGAAGAAGAAAAAAAUAGGGUCUUUUUUUUUUUGCAAAGUAAUAGGUUAUAAAAGUGAAAAUUAAAGGAACAAUAGAGGACUUAAAAUUUUUUUUUUUAAUUAAAAAAAAAAGAAAGAAUGAUCAUAAAAAUAAUAAAAAUAUAUCUAGGACUUUCUUGGUUUUGUUGUGGGUAUUGUGGGUUCAGUUCAUUUUUGGCUAGUUCCUUGGUCUGACUUAUAUUUCUCAAGAUCUAUAGGCCCCUUCCUAUGUAGUCCGUAGUAACCACAGGGUUUUGACCUAUUGCCUGUAGCUUCCAAGGCGUUUCCCUCUGUUAUAUCUUCUUCUGUUUGCUAGUCUCUUCAGUAUCUGGUUUCCGCCCUGACACAAAGGGGACGGUGGAGGAAACAUUUUUUUUUUUUUAGGCUUACUUGUUCAGUUGCGCUGUGGGGAGGUAGGGAGGGAUGCUGCAAACAAAUAACACUGGCGUGAGCUCGCAGUGCCUCAGCCACACUGGGUCUGUCCCCACUCACAGCGCGUGUAGCCUCCCUGCCCACACUGCUCGGGCUCUAGUUGUUCCGCCGGGAACUAUCCGAGGCCGGCCCUGGGUUGCAUGCACCUCCCAGGUCCAAGCCGCUCAGGUUCAGGCACUCGGGUAGUCCUCAGAGGUGCAGACUCAGUUGGGCCUGCGUUUUGUGCUCUUCCCAGGUCCGAGCAGCUCAGGUGAUGAGGUGUUCGGCGAGCGCCAAUGCUGCGACUUAUCACCUCCCCGCCACUCAGUUAUCUGGGUGUAAAACCGGUGCACCUUCUCAGGCACAUGUUGACCGUCCAGACCCCCAAUAAGUUUUAGUUAGCAAAGAAGCCUGCUUACAGUUUUAUAGAUAAUGUCUCUCUGGGGCUGCAAUUGCCCCCUUCCAGCUCUGGCUGCCUGUCACCGGAGGGGGAAGGUCUGCAGCCGGCUAUCUCUGUUCAGUCCUUUGUUCCGUGCGCGGGCCUGGCGGAGUCUUAGGUUAGGGCUGGCUUUUCACGUGGUAGAUAUCCCACAGUCUGGUUUGCUAGCCCAAAUUAUUUCGCUCAGAUAGUGCUCAGGGUAUUCAGGCCAGAUCCUUACUCUCAGCGAUGCAGCCCGAGCCGCGCCUCCCUGCCCAGCCCCCGCUUGCUAAUGGCGGAUGCAGGCGUCUGCGCUGGUUCUCCGCUGGGGGAGUUACUGUAGGGCUCGCAAUCUGCGAGUUUUAAUUGUUUAUUUAUUUUUUCUCCCUGUUAUGUUGCCCUCUGUGCUUCCAAAGCUUGGCACAGAUUCAGCAGUGAGAAGGUUUCCUGGUGUUUGGAAACUUCUCUCUUUUUAAGACUCCCUUCCCGGGACGGAACUCCAUCCCUCCCUCUUUUGUCUCUUUUUUUGUCUUUAAUAUUUUUUCCUACCUCCUUUCGAAGAGUUGGAUUGCUUUUCUGGGUGCCUGAUGUCCUCUGCUGGCAUUCAGAAGUUGUUUUGUGGAAUUUACUCGACGUUUAAAUGCUCUUUUGAUGAAUUUGUGGGGAAGAAAGUGUUCUCCCCGUCCUACUCCUCUGCCAUCUUGGCUCCUCCCCUUAAUUAACU